AAGGCAGCAGGAGAAAAAGGAUACGGGAGAAGGAGCUCUGGUGGAAAAUACCCAGAUGUAAACGGUCGCUUCCCUCUUCCUGCCAGCCAGCUCAUGGCAAGAGCUUCAUCUGCUGCUUGCCUUGCAAAAAACUGAAAUAGCAGAAAAAGCAGCAGUCUAGGAAAGGCUGCUAAAGGCCCUGAAAGCAGGGGGUACCUAAAUCCCUGGGAGCCUGUGGUUUUGGGGUGCCUCAGAGAAGGUCCCUGCUGGUGCCCAGCCCUCUUGUGAGAAUGACGGUGUCUCAGAGUCAUUUUUCUGCCUAUUUGCUUCAGUGUGGGAAAGGCAUAGCAGGGAAAAUACCCCGCCGAGGCAGUUUUUGCCCUUAAAACUGCCCCAGGCACCCCCCCCCCAAGCAGCACUGCAGAGCCGGUGCCUUGGGGCUGCCGGCCUCACUCCUCGAAGCUGAAGAUCUCUGCUUCCUUCUCCUUCCAGAAGGCGAAGCUGCGAUCGAUGUACCUGCAGAUCUCCUCGUUGCUGACACCGGCGAAAGCAGCCCCGCAGCCCGGGUGAUGCCGGGGCGGUGGGCUCUGUGCUGGCGUGCUGGCUGCGGGCUGCCGAGGGCUUCCYGCAGCACCCCGGCCCGACCCCAGCCAGCACACGGAGCCCUUGGUGCUGCCAAAAUACCUCGCCUUGAUAUCUUCAAAGCUGUCUUUCCAGCCUCGCCGGCCGGCGUCGAUCUCAUCUGUCACAGCCCGGUGGAAGGCACGCACCGUGUCCCAGCUGUGCCGGCCCAGGUGGUCGAACACCUCGAAGCAGAGCAGGUGCCGGCCCCGGCGCUCUUCCGGGGAAAGGUCCUGCUCCAGGAUGCGGAAAUAGCCCAGCAUGAAGAGGUCCAGCGUGAGGCUGUCGUAGUCGGCCGGCAUGCCGUUGAUGUGGGGCAGGAACUGCUCCGGGGAGAGCGAUUUGCUGGACUCGCUGGGCUUCAUCAUCCCGCAAGACUUGGUCACUGGCGAGGAGAGAGGGACAGGCSUGCGUUAGGCGUUAAGGUGUGUGUGUGGGGGGACGUUGGCGGAGCGCGGCGGGACGGAGGCCGGGUUUCGUGCGUCGCGGAUGCUUGCACCGCUGAGGAUGCGUGGGGAGGCCCGGCGAUCGCUUAG
rnacentral:lncRNA from 1 species